GGACAGCCUUCUUUAUACACAGAUAUCAAAUAUUGAAAUGAAUUGCUAAAUGUACAAGCUAAGGGGAGCCUAUAAUUUUGUGUAUAUAUGAAUACCUUUUCUAUAGUGGAUCUAUAUAAUUAUGUAUGUGUGUAUUUAUAGCGAGUUUACGUCGUUAUCCACAGAUACCGUAUCGUAUGAUGAAUAAGAAGCUGCCAGUAGUGCUGCUCCGAUACCCGAACCAUCUUCAGUUGGCUUUAAAAUAACAUGUGGGGCAAUCUCCUCUCCCAGUAUUUCAACCAAAGCUUCAUGUAGAUACUCUCUGAACAUUUUAUAGCUUGUAUAUAGACCUCCCUCAAUUGCAAUAACUGUUCGUCUAAGUUUGAUAUCAGUUCUACUUCUUCCACCAGCAAUUCCACUUGUCCCGUCCCGCCCUAUCUUCUUCAGGAUGCCCACAAUACCAGCAGCUGCCAAGCGAGCAGCUCUACGUGUCACAAUGUCGCAUAUUUUCACUACGAGCUUUCGAACCUUUAAAGGUAUAUCGGUGAUCUCCAAGAUGUCUUCAAAGAUCCGUGCCACUUCUGUUAACUCUGGGGAGCUAUCCUCAUGCAUUGCAGCCAUCAAUGGCGUUCUCAAUUUGAAGGGCAUCGAUAAUCGGGUAGAAGCAGGGCCAAAAACAUCAGAUUCUUGUGAUAUCCUCAGAACUACUCUCCUCACAAUAUCACCAAGAUACAUACCCGAUAUCAUUUUCUCAAAGCCCUGUUCACUGGGAUUGGGGCUAUCAGCAUCCAAAUCAAUAUCAUAAGUAGUUCUUGGUAAAUGAGAAGACCAGAAAUUUCCCCAUUCCAU
rnacentral:misc_RNA from 1 species